rnacentral:rRNA from 1 species
UGGGGAAUAUUGGGCAAUGGGCGAAAGCCUGACCCAGCAACGCCGCGUGAAGGAAGAAGGUUUUCGGAUUGUAAACUUCUGUCCUCAGGGAAGAAGGACGUGACGGUACCUGAGGAGGAAGCCCCGGCUAACUACGUGCCAGCAGCCGCGGUAAUACGUAGGGGGCGAGCGUUGUCCGGAAUGACUGGGCGUAAAGGGCGCGUAGACGGCUGUCUAAGUCUGGAGUGAAAGUCCUGUUUUCAAGAUGGGAAUUGCUUUGGAGACUGGAUGGCUUGAGUGCGGAAGAGGUAAGUGGAAUUCCCAGUGUAGCGGUGAAAUGCGUAGAGAUUGGGAGGAACACCAGUGGCGAAGGCGACUUACUGGGCCGUAACUGACGUUGAAGCGCGAAAGCGUGGGGAGCGAACA